GGGGAGCAUGCCUCGAAUGCAGCAUGUAAACCGGCAUUUAAGCAAUGUAUUUUUCUCCUGUCCUGCUGACUUUCCCCUCCUGGGCUUGAGGAUACUCCGUUCGUUUACCUCCACACACAACCUACACUGGAAGUCUGUAAUGUUAUAGGAAAGGAGGUUGACACAGCCCUGAGACUGGGGUUUUGAUCGAGCGAGCCUUUAUGGUAGCACUUGUGGGCUUUCCCUAUUAAACAGACCUUUCAUGUUGAUUAUAUAGGAUGGGGUUCAUUUGUAUCCAUUAGCCUUUGCUUUGACUACAUCGCACCAGUUCUUAUCUAGACACAGAUCCUUAAUUCAGGAGUCACUAUGCUACACUGAUACUCUAAAGGAUUACCGCUGGUCUUAGACAUUUGAUAGCUCCUCUAUAUAUACUUAUUUACUUCUAGAUUCUCACAUAUUGAUUAUACCUUGAUUUGGCUAAUUAGAUUAAGAAGUCUUUUAUAUGCUGUCUACAUUUGAUAUUUAUCUUCUUUGUAUAUCCAAUAGACACUUAAACAAAUAGGUUGCUAUCUUGCAAUGUGAGUAGUUUAUCCAUCUGAAGCUAUUUGAGAGGUUAAGUCAGUGUUAUAGCCACCUACUUUACUUUGCGUAUCCUUUUUGAUAGCAUAAUUCCAGUCUAGACAUACAGAGCUAUGUGACAUCUAAAAACCUAAUAUCUACUACAUUCUACUCAUAAUUUCGUUAUUAAAUAAUGCUACAUUUGUAGUCUGUGGAGUAUGAGUACUUGUGAUGAGUACUUCUAGUCAUCCCAUUAUUUUAAGCUUUUCACGUCACAAU